UAACAGAAAUUCCUGAUACUUUGUGAAUUCUUCUUGCUAUUUUAGCAUAAUAGUAUAAUGUAAAGCAACUAUUCGAAAGAUUUUUAAUAUUGUAGUAAUAUGUAACCAUAGAUUUUUCUGAUAAAAAUGUCUAUUUGGGAUUUUUGUUUUAUGUUAGCUUGUUCUGAAUUGCUGGUUUUGUGCUUGAAUUAGAUAACUUUUUUUUUUUACAUUCCUACUUUUUCAAAAUUCCCUUAGGGAAUGGGAGCAUCCAUAGGGAGAUGCAAGUAACUCAGAACAGCUCCACAAAGGGAAUUCUUGCUUUGUAGCCUUUCAGUUCGUUGAGAGUGGAAUCCCUUUACAUAGCGGUACAUAAGAAUUCAGAAGACUCUUGUGGUCCUACAGUGAAGGACUAUUGAAAAUCCUAUGGCUAAUUCCAGAGGGGAAAUCCAUAUUAGGAGAAAAACUGAGAAAUGUCAACAGUAUAACAGAAUUCACUGUUGUACAAUAAAGGAACUGUUGAAGUUACAAGGCCCCAGCAAGAGGAUGUCAGCAAGGAUCAGAUGAUUUUCCCUUAGACACUACUCCCAUUCUAUUUUAAGGUGCAGUGAGAGGGCAUCGCUCAUUAACCUGGACAAGAUCCACAUUAUGACAGGAGCUUGGCAACAAGAGAAACAUGGAGGACAAAAUGUAACUAACUCCUGACCCCCUUGUCACUUCUUGUGAGGGCUUAUUAUGGCCUCGACAUACUGGGAAUGUUGAUGUAGAACGAUGGAAUUUCAUCAGUUCAUAAUAAAAUGUUAGUG